AGUUGCUGAAGCAUGCUUAUCAAUUGAACAUGAGGAUUCAAUUAGUCUGGGAUUGCCUCCCAUAAGUUCUGGAGUGCCUCCUGAUGGCGAUGAUGUCCCACCUGGGGCACUUCUCACAGCACAUUUUCUUUACCAUCUAGCUGCAAAGAUGGACCUGAAAACGGAAAUAUAUUCCCUUGGUGAUUUGUCAAAAACUGUUGGAAAAAUUAUGACAGACAUGUCAAGUCUUUAUGAUGUAGGCCGCCGUAAACGUUCUGCUGGGCUUUUACUCGUAGAUCGCACCCUUGAUCUCCUUACUCCAUGCUGUCAUGGGGAUUCACUGGUUGAUCGCAUGUUUUCAUCUUUGCCCCGAAGAGAAAGAACAUCAUAUUCCCACAUGAAAGGCUCACAAACCCAAGUCAAACUUGGUCCUUCUAUCCUAGAACGUGCUUCUCUUAAUGUUCAGAUACCAC
rnacentral:misc_RNA from 1 species